rnacentral:rRNA from 1 species
GACGAACGCUGGCGGCGUGCUUAACACAUGCAAGUCGAACGGAAAGGCCCUGCUUUUGUGGGGUGCUCGAGUGGCGAACGGGUGAGUAACACGUGAGUAACCUGCCCUUGACUUUGGGAUAACUUCAGGAAACUGGGGCUAAUACCGGAUAGGAGCUCCUGCUGCAUGGUGGGGGUUGGAAAGUUUCGGCGGUUGGGGAUGGACUCGCGGCUUAUCAGCUUGUUGGUGGGGUAGUGGCUUACCAAGGCAUUGACGGGUAGCCGGCCUGAGAGGGUGACCGGCCACAGUGGGACUGGGGUGCGGCCCAGACUCCUACGGGAGGCAGCAGUGGGGAAUAUUGCACAAUGGGCGGAAGCCGGAUGCAGCAACUCCGCGUGCGGGAUGACGGCCUUCGGGUUGUAAACGGCUUUCGCCUGUGACGAGGCGUGAGUGACGGUAAUGGGUAAAGAAGCACCGGCUAACUACGU